AUUGAACGCUGGCGGCAGGCUUAACACAUGCAAGUCGAGCGGGGUGAUGGUGCUUGCACUAUCACUUAGCGGCGGACGGGUGAGUAAUGCUUAGGAAUCUGCCUAUUAGUGGGGGACAACAUCUCGAAAGGGAUGCUAAUACCGCAUACGUCCUACGGGAGAAAGCAGGGGAUCACUUGUGACCUUGCGCUAAUAGAUGAGCCUAAGUCGGAUUAGCUAGUUGGUGGGGUAAAGGCCUACCAAGGCGACGAUCUGUAGCGGGUCUGAGAGGAUGUUCCGCCACACUGGGGCUGAGACGCGGCCCAGGCUCCGACGGGAGGCAGCAGUGGGGAAUAUUGGACAAUGGGCGGAAGCCUGAUCCAGCCAUGCCGCGUGUGUGAAGAAGGCCUUUUGGUUGUAAAGCACUUUAAGCGAGGAGGAGGCUACUAGUAUUAAUACUACUGGAUAGUGGACGUUACUCGCAGAAUAAGCACCGGCUAACUCUGUGCCAGCCGCCGCCGUAA
rnacentral:rRNA from 1 species